GUUUCAGUUUGGCCAUAAAAAGAAGAAAUAAAACAAAAAAAAACAUUGAGCGCUCACAUGCACGUCUAUUUACACAUCAAUCGAAUAUUCGCGCUUAUAAACAAACCAAAAAUAGACAUGCAUUGAUCAAAAUAGUCAAAUUCUUUUUUUUCGAGCAAUCAAAAAAAAAAAAUGUGUCAACUUUUUUUCGAACCACAAUCAUAGAAAAAAAAUGAUGGCCAUUAUGUGUGUACAACUAAAUUUAGAAUUUUGGAACAACCAACACCGAUCAUCCAAGGAGCCGAAUCAAAUGAAUCCAAUAAGACCACAAUAAAAUGAAUACAAAUGUAUAUAGAGGAAUUGUCUGUGUGUGUGUGUGUAAAAAUUCUUGAAUAUUCGUGUGAAAUAUAUGCGCACAUGUGUUACGUCAUAUUUUAUUCGAUACUUUUGGCAAUCUUUUUUUUUAUUUCUCUAUAUACAGAAAUAAAACAUUUGCACAUA